GGAGGCGAACCGGGGGAAGUGAAACAUCUCAGUACCCCGAGGAAAAGAAAUCAACCGAGAUUCCCCCAGUAGCGGCGAGCGGACGGGGAGCAGCCCAGAGUCAGCAUCAAUAUUUACCGCAGGAGAAGGGUCUGGAAAGGCCGGCAAUAAAGGGUGAUAGCCCCGUAUUUGAAGCGGUAAGUGUUGUGAACUCGAAGAGUAGGGCGGGACACGUGUUAUCCUGUCUGAAUAUGGGGGGACCAUCCUCCAAGGCUAAAUACUCCUGACUGACCGAUAGUGAACCAGUACCGUGAGGGAAAGGCGAAAAGAACCCCGGCAAGGGGAGUGAAAUAGAACCUGAAACCGUGUACGUACAAGCAGUGGGAGCACCCGAAAGGGUGUGACUGCGUACCUUUUGUAUAAGGGGUCAGCGACUUAUAUUCUGUAGCAAGGUUAACCGCAUAGGGGAGCCGUAGGGAAACCGAGUCUUAACUGGGCGUUAAGUUGUAGGGUAUAGACCCGAAACCCGGUGAUCUAGCCAUGGGCAGGUUGAAG
rnacentral:rRNA from 1 species